GCUAAGUUGGCGUCGGGGCUUGAAAAACGACCCUGACCAGCACAAGCUUCUAGGGUUGCUUCUGCAUCCAGCCCCACCUCUAAUGGGGCUCCUAUUGACUGUCUAGCGUGGGAUCAGACCUGCCAUCUUCCUUUGGUGUCUCUUCCAGUUCCAUGCAGCGAUCUGUCCCUUUCCGAUGGAGUGAGGACUAUUAAUAACCGAUCUGAUUUAAAGUCUCUCUUUCAAAGUUGCUGAAUUUGCUGGACAGUGGCAAUAAAAAUAAGUUACUCAAUGUU